rnacentral:lncRNA from 8 species
AUGACCACAGUGGUGAUCCAAGGGAUGGCAGGUAAAGUGGUUGAAAGAGGGAGAAGGAGGAGGGAGAGGGAGGAGGGAGGAAGGAAGGAGGAUUUCCUCUCUGUUUGUGGUCAACAGUUUCAUUUUCACAGGGAGAAUAGGAGUGAGUGGGUUCUCUAUUUAUGUUCUCUCACUUUCUCUUUCUCUCUCUCAGUCUCUACCUGUCACUCGGUCUCUCCCUGUCACUCGGUCUCUCCCUGUCACUCGGUCUCUAUCUGUCACUCGGUCUCUACCUGUCACUCGGUCUCUCACUCUCUCGGUCUCUCACUCUCUCAGUCUCUCAGUCUCUCGGUCUCUCAGUCUCUCCCUGUCAUUCGGUCUCUCACUCUCUCGGUCUCUCACUCUCUCGGUCUCUCAGUCUCUUGGUCUCUCAGUUUCUCCCUGUCACUCGGUCUCUCCCUGUCACUCGGUCUCUCCCUGUCACUUGGUCUCUACCUGUCACUCGGUCUCUACCUGUCACUCGGUCUCUACCUGUCACUCGGUCUCUCCCUGUCACUCGGUCUCUACCUGUCACUCGGUCUCUACCUGUCACUCGGUCUCUCCCUGUCACUCGGUCUCUACCUGUCACUCGGACUCUACCUGUCACUCGGUCUCUACCUGUCACUCGGUCUCUACCUGUCACUCGGUCUCUACCUGUCUCUCGGUCUCUCACUCUCUCAGUCUCUCUGUCACUCGGUCUCUCAGUCUCUCGGUCUCUCAGUCUCUCCCUGUCAUUCGGUCUCUCACUCUCUCGGUCUCUCACUCUCUCGGUCUCUCACUCUCUCGGUCUCUCAGUCUCUUGGUCUCUCGGUCUCUCCCUGUCACUCGGUCUCUCCCUGUCACUCGGUCUCUCCCUGUCACUUGGUCUCUCCCUGUCACUCGGUCUCUACCUGUCACUCGGUCUCUACCUGUCACUCGGUCUCUCACUCUCUCGGUCUCUCACUCUCUCGGUCUCUCACUCGCUCGGUCUCUCAGUCUCUCGGUCUCUCAGUUUCUCCCUGUCACUCGGUCUCUCCCUGUCACUCGGUCUCUCACUCUCUCGGUCUCUCCCUGUCACUCGGUCUCUCACUCUCUCGGUCUCUCCCUGUCACUCGGUCUCUCACUCUCUCAGUCUCUCCCUGUCACUCGGUCUCUCACUCUCUCGGUCUCUCACUCUCUCGGUCUCUCACUCUCUCAGUCUCUCUGUCACUCGGUCUCUCCCUGUCACUCGGUCUCUCACUCUCUUGGUCUCUCCCUGUCACUAGGUCUCUCACUCUCUCGGUCUCUCACUCUCUCGGUCUCUCACUCUCUCGGUCUCUCACUCUCUUGGUCUCUCCUUGUCACUCGGUCUCUACCUGUCACUCGGUCUCUCCCUGUCACUCGGUCUCUCCCUGUCACUCGGUCUCUCACUCUCUCGGUCUCUCACUCUCUCGGUCUCUUUCUUUCUCUCUCUCUCUCUCACUCUCUCUCUGUGUGUCUCUUUCUCUGUGUGUCUCUCUCUCUCUCUCUCUUUCUCUGUUUGUCUCUCUAUUUGUCCUCUUGGUCUCUCUCAGUCUCUCUCUCUCCAUAUCUCUCUCUCGGUCUCUGUUGGUCUCUCUCGGUCUCUCUCUCUCCAUCUCUCUCUCUAUGUCUCUCUCUCGGUCUCUGACGGUCUCUCGGUCUCUCUCUCUCCAUGGCUCUCUCUUGGUCUCUGUCAGUCUCUCUCGGCCUCUCUCUCUCGGCCUCUCUCUCUCCAUCUCUCUCUCUCUCGUUGUCUCUCUCUCGGUCUCUGUCGGUCUCUCUCGAUCUCCAUUUUUCUCUCUCUCUCUCUCUCUCUCUCUCUCGGUCUCUCCAGGUCUCUCCAUCUUUCUCUCUCUCUAUGUCUCUCUCUCGGUCUUUCUUUCUCCCUCUCUCUCUCUCGGUCUCUCAGUCUCUCUCGGUCUCUCUCUCUCCAUCUCUCUCUCUAUGUCUCUCUCUCGGUCUCUCUGUCUCUCUCGGUCUCUCUCUCUCCAUCUCUCUCUCUAUGUCUCUCUCUCGGUCUCUCUCUCGCCAUCUCUCUCGGAUCCUGUAAUGUUUUUCUUCUCUCCUAGCCAAUCACAGCGGCAGCAGCCAAGCUUCUGGAGGGAAAGACCUGGAAGGGGAGUGACUUCUUGGCUGGACCUCGCCCAAGGAUCAGGAGUGAGAGUGGGUUUAGCAACAGUGGGACCAGUGACUCAACAAACCCUAACUGGACAACCUGCUUCAGGGUGCCCCAGAGCCCCACGAAGACCCCCAAUAUUUCUGCUCUCAACAGCCUGA